rnacentral:rRNA from 1 species
UACGGAGGAUGCAAGCGUUAUCCGGAAUGAUUGGGCGUAAAGCGUCCGCAGGUGGCAGUUCAAGUCUGCUGUCAAAGACCGGGGCUUAACUUCGGAAAGGCAGUGGAAACUGAACAGCUAGAGUAUGGUAGGGGCAGAGGGAAUUCCUGGUGUAGCGGUGAAAUGCGUAGAUAUCAGGAAGAACAUCGGUGGCGAAGGCGCUCUGCUGAACCAUAACUGACACUCAGGGACGAAAGCUAGGGGAGCGAAUGGG